rnacentral:rRNA from 1 species
GGGUUGUGAGGUUAAGCGACUAAGCGUACACGGUGGAUGCCCUGGCAGUCAGAGGCGAUGAAGGGCGUGCUAAUCUGCGAUAAGCGCCGGUAAGGUGAUAUGAACCGUUAUAACCGGCGAUACCCGAAUGGGGAAACCCAGUGUGAUUCGUCACACUAUCAUUAACUGAAUCCAUAGGUUAAUGAGGCGAACCGGGGGAACUGAAACAUCUAAGUACCCCGAGGAAAAGAAAUCAACCGAGAUUCCCCCAGUAGCGGCGAGCGAACGGGGAGGAGCCCAGAGCCUGAAUCAGCAUGUGUGUUAGUGGAAGCGUCUGGAAAGGCGCGCGAUACAGGGUGACAGCCCCGUACACAAAAGCGCAUGUGCUGUGAGCUCGAUGAGUAGGGCGGGACACGUGGUAUCCUGUCUGAAUAUGGGGGGACCAUCCUCCAAGGCUAAAUACUCCUGACUGACCGAUAGUGAACCAGUACCGUGAGGGAAAGGCGAAAAGAACCCCGGCGAGGGGAGUGAAAAAGAACCUGAAACCGUGUACGUACAAGCAGUGGGAGCACAGGUUUACCUGUGUGACUGCGUACCUUUUGUAUAAUGGGUCAGCGACUUAUAUUCUGUAGCAAGGUUAACCGAAUAGGGGAGCCGGAGGGAAACCGAGUCUUAACCGGGCGUUAAGUUGCAGGGUAUAGACCCGAAACCCGGUGAUCUAGCCAUGGGCAGGUUGAAGGUUGGGUAACACUAACUGGAGGACCGAACCGACUAAUGUUGAAAAAUUAGCGGAUGACCUGUGGCUGGGGGUGAAAGGCCAAUCAAACCGGGAGAUAGCUGGUUCUCCCCGAAAGCUAUUUAGGUAGCGCCUCGUGAAUUCAUCUCCGGGGGUAGAGCACUGUUUCGGCUAGGGGGCCAUCCCGGCUUACCAACCCGAUGCAAACUGCGAAUACCGGAGAAUGUUAUCACGGGAGACACACGGCGGGUGCUAACGUCCGUCGUGAAGAGGGAAACAACCCAGACCGCCAGCUAAGGUCCCAAAGUCAUGGUUAAGUGGGAAACGAUGUGGGAAGGCCCAGACAGCCAGGAUGUUGGCUUAGAAGCAGCCAUCAUUUAAAGAAAGCGUAAUAGCUCACUGGUCGAGUCGGCCUGCGCGGAAGAUGUAACGGGGCUAAACCAUGCACCGAAGCUGCGGCAGCGAACGUAUCACUUAAAGCGAUUCAGCGGGUUACGAUUGACGGAGCGAAGCGACGUCAAAGCGUAUACAAAGUCGAGUCGGUUUAAGGAUACGUUCGUUGGGUAGGGGAGCGUUCUGUAAGCCUGUGAAGGUGGCCUGUGAGGGUUGCUGGAGGUAUCAGAAGUGCGAAUGCUGACAUAAGUAACGAUAAAGCGGGUGAAAAGCCCGCUCGCCGGAAGACCAAGGGUUCCUGUCCAACGUUAAUCGGGGCAGGGUGAGUCGACCCCUAAGGCGAGGCCGAAAGGCGUAGUCGAUGGGAAACGGGUUAAUAUUCCCGUACUUGGUGUUACUGCGAAGGGGGGACGGAGAAGGCUAUGUUGGCCGGGCGACGGUUGUCCCGGUUUAAGCGUGUAGGUGUGUGUUCCAGGUAAAUCCGGUUCACUUUAACACUGAGGCGUGAUGACGAGGCACUACGGUGCUGAAGCAACAAAUGCCCUGCUUCCAGGAAAAGCCUCUAAGCAUCAGGUAACAUCAAAUCGUACCCCAAACCGACACAGGUGGUCAGGUAGAGAAUACCAAGGCGCUUGAGAGAACUCGGGUGAAGGAACUAGGCAAAAUGGUGCCGUAACUUCGGGAGAAGGCACGCUGACACGUAGGUGAAGUGAUUUACUCAUGGAGCUGAAGUCAGUCGAAGAUACCAGCUGGCUGCAACUGUUUAUUAAAAACACAGCACUGUGCAAACACGAAAGUGGACGUAUACGGUGUGACGCCUGCCCGGUGCCGGAAGGUUAAUUGAUGGGGUCAGCGCAAGCGAAGCUCCUGAUCGAAGCCCCGGUAAACGGCGGCCGUAACUAUAACGGUCCUAAGGUAGCGAAAUUCCUUGUCGGGUAAGUUCCGACCUGCACGAAUGGCGUAAUGAUGGCCAGGCUGUCUCCACCCGAGACUCAGUGAAAUUGAACUCGCUGUGAAGAUGCAGUGUACCCGCGGCAAGACGGAAAGACCCCGUGAACCUUUACUAUAGCUUGACACUGAACAUUGAGCCUUGAUGUGUAGGAUAGGUGGGAGGCUUUGAAGCGUGGACGCCAGUCUGCGUGGAGCCGACCUUGAAAUACCACCCUUUAAUGUUUGAUGUUCUAACGUGGACCCGUGAUCCGGGUUGCGGACAGUGUCUGGUGGGUAGUUUGACUGGGGCGGUCUCCUCCUAAAGAGUAACGGAGGAGCACGAAGGUUGGCUAAUCCUGGUCGGACAUCAGGAGGUUAGUGCAAUGGCAUAAGCCAGCUUGACUGCGAGCGUGACGGCGCGAGCAGGUGCGAAAGCAGGUCAUAGUGAUCCGGUGGUUCUGAAUGGAAGGGCCAUCGCUCAACGGAUAAAAGGUACUCCGGGGAUAACAGGCUGAUACCGCCCAAGAGUUCAUAUCGACGGCGGUGUUUGGCACCUCGAUGUCGGCUCAUCACAUCCUGGGGCUGAAGUAGGUCCCAAGGGUAUGGCUGUUCGCCAUUUAAAGUGGUACGCGAGCUGGGUUUAGAACGUCGUGAGACAGUUCGGUCCCUAUCUGCCGUGGGCGCUGGAGAACUGAGGGGGGCUGCUCCUAGUACGAGAGGACCGGAGUGGACGCAUCACUGGUGUUCGGGUUGUCAUGCCAAUGGCACUGCCCGGUAGCUAAAUGCGGAAGAGAUAAGUGCUGAAAGCAUCUAAGCACGAAACUUGCCCCGAGAUGAGUUCUCCCUGAGACUUAGAGUCUCCUGAAGGAACGUUGAAGACGACGACGUUGAUAGGCCGGGUGUGUAAGCGCAGCGAUGCGUUGAGCUAACCGGUACUAAUGAACCGUGAGGCUUAACCUUACAACGCCGAAGCUGUU